rnacentral:lncRNA from 1 species
AUGACCAGCGGCUCGGGCUCGGGCCGUGCCUCAGUUGGCCCGCCGGCGCUCCUGGGGCGGCCCCUGCGGGCGGAGGUGACCCUGUCCGGGCCUGAACCCACGAACCUGGGGACCAAGGGCCUCGUCUGCACCUUGGGCUCUGCCCCCCCACCCGCUGCCCCGCUCCGCGCCCCCAGAGCCACAGCGCGCACCCAAGUUCCCGGGGCUCCCGGCUCAACUCAGAAAGUUCUGCGCUGGGAACGCCCGCCCGUGCCCGCCCGCUCCCCGCUCCCCGCUCCCCGCUCCCCGCGCUCCCGCCGCGGCCCAGGACCCCCGCCCCGACGCGCCCGCUUACUUGGCUGGGCCUGGGGGGCGCCCCGAGUCCGCGAGUGCGUGGGUGCGCUGCGGUCCCGGGUCGCCGAGCGCGGGGUGCUCGCGGGGUGCUCCUGGGGUGCGCGGGGAUGCGCGCGGGGUGCUCCUGGGGUGCCCCUGGGAUGCUCUCGGGGUGAUCCUGGGGUGCGCGCCGGGUGCUCUCGGGGUGCGCGGGGAUGCGCGCGGGGUGCUCCUGGGGUGCUCCUGGGGUGCGCGCGGGGUACUCUCGGGGUACUCUCGGGUUGCUCCUGGGGUGCGUGCUCUCGGGGUGCGCGCGCGGUACUCCUGGGGUGCUGUCAGGGUGCUCUUGGAGUGCGCGCGGGGUGGUCCCGGGGUGGUCCCGGGGUGGUCCCGGGGUGGUCCCGGGGUGCUCUCAGGGUGGUCCCGGGGUGCUCCCGGGGUGGUCCCGGGGUGCUCGCGGAGUGCUCCCGGGGUGCUCGCGGGGUGCUCGCGGGGUGGUCCCGGGGUGGUCCCGGGGUGCUCGCGGGGUGCUCCCGGGGUGCUCUAGGGGUGCUCCCGGGGUGCCCUCGGGGUGGUCCCGGGGUGCUCUCGGGGUGCUCCCGGGGUGCUCGCGGGGCGCUCGCGGGGUGCCCGCCGUCCGUGCCGCCGCCGCAGCCGCCGCGGGCCGCAGUUUAUAGCGCGGCGGCCGGUCCGCGCCGGGGCUUUUCCGUGACGUCAGCGCCCCCGCGGGAGGGGCGUCUCUGCAGCGAACCCCGAGUCGCGGCCUCGCCGCCCAGACGGUUACUCGCAGUCAUGUGA